rnacentral:rRNA from 1 species
UGGGAACGUACCUCUUGGUUCGGAACAACACAGGGAAACUUGUGCUAAUACCGGAUAAGCCCUUACGGGGAAAGAUUUAUCGCCAAAAGAUCGGCCCGCGUCUGAUUAGCUAGUUGGUGGGGUAAUAGCCCACCAAGGCGACGAUCAGUAGCUGGUCUGAGAGGAUGAUCAGCCACAUUGGGACUGAGACACGGCCCAAACUCCUACGGGAGGCAG